rnacentral:rRNA from 1 species
GACGAACCGUACAAACGUUAUUCGGAAUCACUGGGCUUAAAGGGUGCGUAGGCGGCGGCGCAAGUUGGGUGUGAAAUCCCUCGGCUCAACCGAGGAACUGCGCUCAAACUGCGUUGCUUGAGGGAGAUAGAGGUGAGUGGAACUUAGGGUGGAGCGGUGAAAUGCGUUGAUAUCCUAAGGAACACCAGUGGCGAAAGCGACUCACUGGGUCUCUUCUGACGCUGAGGCACGAAAGCUAGGGUAGCGAACGGG